GAUGAACGCUAGCGGCAGGCUUAAUACAUGCAAGUCGAGGGGCAGCAUGACUGUAGCAAUACAGUUGAUGGCGACCGGCAAAACGGGUGCGGAACACGUACAGAACCUUCCUUCGAGCGGGGAAUAGCCCAGAGAAAUUUGGAUUAAUACCCCAUAGUAUAUUAGAGUGGCAUCACUUUGAUAUUAAAGAUUUAUCACUUGAAGAUGGCUGUGCGGCUGAUUAGGUAGUUGGCGGGGUAACGGCCCACCAAGCCUUCGAUCAGUAACUGGUGUGAGAGCACGACCAGUCACACGGGCACUGAGACACGGGCCCGACUCCUACGGGAGGCAGCAGUAAGGAAUAUUGGUCAAUGGACGAAAGUCUGAACCAGCCAUGCCGCGUGGAGGAUGAAGGUCCUCUGGAUUGUAAAACUUCUUUUAAUAUGGGACAAAAAAAGGGUUUUCUAACUCGUCUGACGGUACCAUAUGAAUAAGCACCGGCUAACUCCGUGCCAGCAG
rnacentral:rRNA from 1 species